UAGUCCACGCCGUAAACGAUGAGUGAUAAGUGUUAGAGGGUUUCCGCCCUUUAGUGCUGCAGCUAACGCAUUAAGCACUCCGCCUGGGGAGUACGGUCGCAAGACUGAAACUCAAAGGAAUUGACGGGGGCCCGCACAAGCGGUGGAGCAUGUGGUUUAAUUCGAAGCAACGCGAAGAACCUUACCAGGUCUUGACAUCCUCUGACAACUCUAGAGAUAGAGCGUUCCCCUUCGGGGGACAGAGUGACAGGUGGUGCAUGGUUGUCGUCAGCUCGUGUCGUGAGAUGUUGGGUUAAGUCCCGCAACGAGCGCAACCCUUGAUCUUAGUUGCCAGCAUUYAGUUGGGCACUCUAAGGUGACUGCCGGUGACAAACCGGAGGAAGGUGGGGAUGACGUCAAAUCAUCAUGCCCCUUAUGACCUGGGCWACACACGUGCUACAAUGGAUGGUACAAAGGGCUGCAAGACCGCGAGGUCAAGCCAAUCCCAUAAAACCAUUCUCAUUUCGGAUUGUAGGCUGCAACUCGCCUACAUGAAGCKGGAAUCGCUAGUAAUCACGGAUCAGCAUGCCUCGGUGAAUACGUUCCCGGGC
rnacentral:rRNA from 1 species